rnacentral:rRNA from 1 species
GGAGGUAGUGACAAUAAAUCACAAUGCGGGACUAUUUAGUUUUGCAAUUGAAUUGAGAACGAUGUACGAGAGUUAUCGAUAAACAAUUGGAGGGCAAGUCUGGUGCCAGCAGCCGCGGUAAUUCCAGCUCCAAUAGCGUAUAUUAACGUUGUUGCAGUUAAAAAGCUCGUAGUUGAAGUGUGGGAUAAUGUGUAUUGGAUCUUUUAGUGAAGAUAUAUGUUGUCCCCCCUCCAAUUUCGGUCUGUGGGUAUUAAUUUACUUGCAGUUCGUGUUGGUCAUUUACUGUGAGAAAAUUAGAGUGUUCAAAGCAGGCAUUUGCUUGAAUAUAUUAGCAUGGAAUAAUAAUAAAAGGCUUGUAUGGUCGAUUUAAUUGGUUUGUUCAUAUAAGCAAGAUUAAUAGGGACAGUUGGGGGUAUUCAUAUUCAAUAGUUAGAGGUGAAAUUCUCGGAUUUAUGGAAGAUGAACAAGUGCGAAAGCA